GUGGGGAAUAUUGCGCAAUGGGGGCAACCCUGACGCAGCAACGCCGCGUGAGUGAAGAAGGUUUUAGGAUUGUAAAGCUCUGUCUUUGGGGACGAAACAAAUGACGGUACCCAAGGAGGAAGCCCCGGCUAACUACGUGCCAGCAGCCGCGGUAAUACGUAGGGGGCAAGCGUUGUCCGGAAUUACUGGGCGUAAAGGGCACGCAGGCGGUAUAAUAAGUCAGAUGUGAAAGUUUACAGCUUAACUGUGAAAGUGCAUUUGAAACUGAUAUACUUGAGUCUCGGAGAGGUAAGCGGAAUUCCUAGUGUAGCGGUGAAAUGCGUAGAUAUUAGGAGGAACACCGGUGGCGAAGGCGGCUUACUGGACGAGUACUGACGCUCAUGUGCGAAAGCGUGGGGAGCAAACAGGAUUAGAUACCCGUGUAGUCC
rnacentral:rRNA from 1 species